AUUAGACGAAUCAUCUGGAAAGAUGAAUCAAAGAAGGUAAUAAUCCUGUAGUCGAAAAUGUUGUCUCUCUUGAGUGGAUCCUGAGUACGACGGAGCACGUGAAAUUCCGUCGGAAUCUGGGAGGACCAUCUCCUAAGGCUAAAUACUCUCUAGUGACCGAUAGUGAACCAGUACCGUGAGGGAAAGGUGAAAAGCACCCCGGAAGGGGAGUGAAAUAGAACCUGAAACCGUGUGCUUACAAGUAGUCAGAGCCCGUUAAUGGGUGAUGGCGUGCCUUUUGUAGAAUGAACCGGCGAGUUACGAUUUGAUGCAAGGUUAAGCAGUAAAUGUGGAGCCGUAGCGAAAGCGAGUCUGAAUAGGGCGUUUAGUAUUUGGUCGUAGACCCGAAACCAGGUGAUCUACCCUUGGUCAGGUUGAAGUUCAGGUAACACUGAAUGGAGGACCGAACCGACUUACGUUGAAAAGUGAGCGGAUGAACUGAGGGUAGCGGAGAAAUUCCAAUCGAACCUGGAGAUAGCUGGUUCUCUCCGAAAUAGCUUUAGGGCUAGCCUCAAGUGAUGAUUAUUGGAGGUAGAGCACUGUUUGGACGAGGGGCCCCUCUCGGGUUACCGAAUUCAGACAAACUCCGAAUGCCAAUUAAUUUAACUUGGGAGUCAGAACAUGGGUGAUAAGGUCCGUGUUCGAAAGGGAAACAGCCCAGACCACCAGCUAAGGUCCCAAAAUAUAUGUUAAGUGGAAAAGGAUGUGGCGUUGCCCAGACAACUAGGAUGUUGGCUUAGAAGCAGCCAUCAUUUAAAGAGUGCGUAAUAGCUCACUAGUCGAGUGACACUGCGCCGAAAAUGUACCGGGGCUAAACAUAUUACCGAAGCUGUGGAUUGUCCUUUGGACAAUGGUAGGAGAGCGUUCUAAGGGCGUUGAAGCAUGAUCGUAAGGACAUGUGGAGCGCUUAGAAGUGAGAAUGCCGGUGUGAGUAGCGAAAGACGGGUGAGAAUCCCGUCCACCGAUUGACUAAGGUUUCCAGAGGAAGGCUCGUCCGCUCUGGGUUAGUCGGGUCCUAAGCUGAGGCCGACAGGCGUAGGCGAUGGAUAACAGGUUGAUAUUCCUGUACCACCUAU
rnacentral:rRNA from 1 species